rnacentral:lncRNA from 1 species
AGGUGCUUGUGAGUAGCCUUGGAUAGGUUCCUCAGAAAAACAUUCUCUGUCCAGGAAUGCCUCAGCAGUGGAAAAAAAAUCUUCUGGAAAUCAGAAAAAUGUUGACGACUCCAUAGGUCCCACUGCCCCUGUUUUCCAGAGCUGUGGCUGCUUGGCCAUCCCCCUUUGGAGGGCUGGCUGCCAGGUUAGUGACAGAGCUCCUGGGGAGGGGGAACACGUUUCUGCAGGUCCCGGGCUGAGGAGCGCGCAGGCAGGCGGGAGCUCUGCGAGCCUUCCACAGCUCCUCACCAGCUGACACGGAAACACAGGAGGCACCCUCUCCCCAGCUAAUAUUUUUUUUAAUCUUAGUCCGCUCCCUGUUUCGCAGAUGUCUUAGGGACCUUACUAAGUCUUGCAUUCAGGCUCUUGGCCCUGAUGAAGCAGAAGCUGCCUGCAGGCAGCUUUUGGACAGCUGGAUGAAGAUAUCACUCAUCAACCAUCAGCCCUCUCCAGGGAAGGGAAACCAGAGCUUCAUCUGCAGAAGUGCUGUGCAAUGAGACCUGGAGCAGCUCAGCUUCCUGCAGUGCAAAUGGACCUGGAUUCUGACCUCACCCGGGCUGCAGGCAGUUGCAGGAGGAAUAAAAAAUAAAUCUGGGCUUGUUGCCA